CGACUGCUGAGACAACAAGGGUAUCAUGUGACCCCUGAUGUUUUUAACAAGUUCAAAGAUGAGGAAGGAAAUUUAGUGUCCACCUUGAAGGAUGAUCCAAAGGGACUUUUAAGCUUAUACAAUGCGGCUUAUCUACGGAUACAUGAGGAGACCAUACUCGAUGAAGCUAUUUCCUUUACAAGGGACCAGAUUGCGUCCAUGUUAAGUGAUCUCACACCACCGUUAGCAACGCAAGUGAGACUGUUCCUGGAGAGUCCUCUCUGUAGAAGAAUGAAAAGGGUCUUGGCACGAAAUUUCAUCUCCAUCUACCAAGACUGUGCGACACGAAAUGAUGCCUUACUAGAGCUGGCAAAGCUUGACUUCAAUCUACUGCAAUGUCUUCAUCGCGACGAGAUUAAGAGCAUCUCCAUGUAAUUUCUUUCCUACAGUUAGAUUGAUUGAGAGUUCAGGUUGAGGAGUAAACUUGAAUACGUAGAACACUGUCAUUGUAGAAAUGUUUGAUUGUUUCCGUCUUUUUUUAUCGAUGUUUGGAUUGACAAUAACAUUGUGGUUUGUGGAUUGCAUUGAA